GAUUCAGUGGAGACGCAGUGGGGCCUGUAGCUCAGAGGAUUAGAGCACGUGGCUACGAACCACGGUGUCGGGGGUUCGAAUCCCUCCUCGCCCAC
rnacentral:tRNA from 1 species